rnacentral:Y_RNA from 1 species
GGCUUUUCUGAAGAUAGUUAUCUCACUUGAUUAUACACAGUUACAGAUUGAACUCCUUGUUCUACUUUCCCCCCUUUCUCGCUACUGCAUUUGACUAGUCUAAA